rnacentral:rRNA from 1 species
UGGGGAAUAUUGGGCAAUGGAGGCAACUCUGACCCAGCAACGCCGCGUGAGGGAAGAAGGUUUUCGGAUUGUAAACCUCUGUCCUAGGGGACGAAGAAAGUGACGGUACCCUAGGAGGAAGCCCCGGCUAACUACGUGCCAGCAGCCGCGGUAAUACGUAGGGGGCAAGCGUUGUCCGGAAUUACUGGGCGGAAAGGGUGCGUAGGCGGUAUGGUAAGUUAGAUGUGAAAUCCCCGGGCUUAACUCGGGAGUUGCAUUUAAAACUGUCAGACUAGAGUGCAGGAGAGGAAAGCGGAAUUCCUAGUGUAGCGGUGAAAUGCGUAGAUAUUAGGAGGAACACCGGUGGCGAAAGCGGCUUUCUGGCACGAUACUGACGCUGAGGCUCGAAAGCGUGGGGAGCAAACA